GGUCCUGUAGCUCAGCGGAUUCAGAGCGCUCGGGUGCGAACCGAGAGGCCGCAGGUUCGAUUCCUGCCAGGACCAC
rnacentral:tRNA from 1 species